UACGUAGGGUGCGAGCGUUAAUCGGAAUUACUGGGCGUAAAGUGUGCGCAGGCGGCAGAGCAAGUCGAGUGUGAAAGCCCCGGGCUUAACUUGGGAAUUGCGCUCGAAACUACUUUGCUGGAGUGUGGCAGAGGAAGGUGGAAUUCCACGUGUAGCGGUGAAAUGCGUAGAGAUGUGGAGGAACACCAAUGGCGAAGGCAGCCUUCUGGGCCAACACUGACGCUCAUGCACGAAAGCGUGGGGAGCAAACAGGA
rnacentral:rRNA from 1 species